AGAGGAAUGAAGGGGAAGCAGAUGGAGGAGAUCCACUCACAGGAUUCUGCGUUGUUGAUUUGUGUGUGGAAGUAUCGUGGGUUUGCCUGCCUCCAUUGUUGCUCGUCUGCUGAAAUAAGUUGUACCCCAGCAGGCCCCUCUUCAGGUCCAGCGGGUUCUCUGGUCAGCUGGUCGUCCACCGUGACUCCGAGAAGCUUGGCACAUUGGACCACCUGGAGGGGGUGAGGGCCCACUGUGAGCUGGGGAGGGGGCACUGGUACAGAGGAGGUACAGCAAUGCAUCACCACAGUUUUGCUGUGGUUGAUGGUCAUCCUGCUCUUUUCCGUCCACGUCUGCAGUCGCUCCAGAAUUGCUUGCAGUGGCGAGUAGUCCGGGUUCUUGGUGGAAACUGGGACGCCCACGGUGCAGUCGUCCACAUACUUCCAGCGAUGAGGGGUGUCAGUGAGGGCGUCGUUAAUGAGGAGGAGGAAGCAUAGAGGACCCAUCUUGGUCCCCUGGGGGACCCCACAUGUCAGCUGUUGGAAAUUAGAGACAGAGCCCUGAUAGCGAACGGCCUGACGCCUCCCUGUGAGGAAGUCGGCUAGCCACGCUAUCAGGUUAGGAGGGAGACCCAGACUUACUGCCUUGCUGAUGACAACAGUGUGAUCAACAAGAUCAAAGGCUUUUUUGAAGUUGUGUGUGUGUGUGUGUGUGUGUGUGUGUGUGUGUGUGUGUUUAAAAGUAUUGCCAUUAACAUAUACGUAUUUUCCUUACAGUUGAAGUAUUUGUAUUACUUUUAUACGUGUUGUUUUCACCGUAUGUUCUUCUGUUUAAGUAUAUUUUACAGUGUAAGAAAUGGCGUGACUUUGUAAGUAUUAUUCUGCACCAUCUAAGUAUGUUAGAUUUCAUGUUUUCACGGUUUAAGUGUGUGCAGUUCCUCUUUAUAAAGGAGAUUAAGUUACAGCGCGUCAUACUUACGCACACACACACACACACAGACACACACACACACACACACACACACACACACACACUAUAUCACCUCCCACAAACACAUCCAUGCAACAAAGGCCUCAAUUACCAGCCAUUAGAGAGAGAGAGAGAGAGAGAGAGAGAGAGAGAGAGAGAGAGAGAGAGAGAGAGAGAGAGAGAGAGAGAGAGGGUACGAGUAUAUGGAGUCUUAAUGGUAUGUGAUAACAGGUAAGUAAGAGGCGGUGAUGGUGGUGGUAGUGUUUUUAUCACCUGUCUUAUUGAUACUGUAAAUUAAGGAUAGGAAUUGUACAAAAAAUGGAAGAGGAAUUAACAAAUCUAGAAGGUUAUACGUA